rnacentral:rRNA from 1 species
GACGAACGCUGGCGGCGUGCUUAACACAUGCAAGUCGAACGAAGAGCGAUGGAAGCUUGCUUCUAUCAAUCUUAGUGGCGAACGGGUGAGUAACGCGUAAUCAACCUGCCCUUCAGAGGGGGACAACAGUUGGAAACGACUGCUAAUACCGCAUACGAUCCAAUCUCGGCAUCGAGACUGGAUGAAAGGUGGCCUCUAUUUAUAAGCUAUCACUGAAGGAGAGGAUUGCGUCUGAUUAGCUAGUUGGAGGGGUAACGGCCCACCAAGGCGAUGAUCAGUAGCCGGUCUGAGAGGAUGAACGGCCACAUUGGGACUGAGACACGGCCCAGACUCCUACGGGAGGCAGCAGUGGGGAAUCUUCCGCAAUGGACGAAAGUCUGACGGAGCAACGCCGCGUGAGUGAUGACGGCCUUCGGGUUGUAAAGCUCUGUUAAUCGGGACGAAUGGUUCUUGUGCGAAUAGUGCGAGGAU